CGCGGGCGCUUCCGCUGGGGGAGUGGGAGGUUGCUCCUGAAUUUUCUAUGGAAGCGGUGCGUCAGUUCCGCCUCUCCCAGCGCUUCCAAACUUCCUGAAUCUGUGCUUGGAACCUGCAGCGACAGGGCGACUUAGGGGGGAAAAAAGCCUGAGCGGAGCACGCAGCCUGAUUUCUCAGAAAGGGCUGCACAGAGGUGGAAAGAGUGACUCCCCUGGCUACUGACAGCAAAGUUCCACCUCUACACCCAACGUGGGGCCCGAACUCACAAGCCGGAGAGCAAGAGUCACACGUGCCAUCGACUGAGCCAGAUGUACUUACUACGUGUUUAGGUUCGGUAGUGCGUCAUUAGCAGGGAUCCCAUAGAACAUUGAGGCGUCCUUGACAUUGCAGCAUAACAGGAGCCAAAGGACGUCGGUCUGUCCGUAUAUCGGUGAACUCAACGUUGUUACCUAAGCUAAGGGGAUUUCUAUUAGGUUUCUCCACUGCGAAGUCACUAAUUUUUAUUUAUUUUUUUAAAGAUUGUAUUUUUUAAGUAACCUCUAUACCCAGCGUGGGUCUGGAACUCACAACCCCCAGAUCUAGAGUCGCACGCUUUACCGACUGAACCAGCCAGACUCCCCUAAAGUUACUAUUUUUUAAAUCAAAAUGAGUAAAGUUUAUGGGGAGAUACACUUACUGGUUGGCAUUCUGCUGUGAGGCCAGGCUUCCCCAUGUUCCCUGCUUAUUCACUCAAAUAUAAAUACCUUUAUCAAGAUGCACUCAGAAUCUGUCAAUUAGUUUUGUGAUUUAAAUGAUACGUAGAUGAACAAGCAUUUAUUUAUAUCAACUUGAUGUGUAUUGUACAUAUCAUAGAAUCUGCCCAUUUUAGUUGCACAAAUCAGUGAUUUUUAGUAACUUUGCUGAGUGGUGCAGCCAUUGCUGUAAUUCAGUUUAGAACAUGUUCAUUCCCCCAGUUGGAUUCCUCAGGCCCAUUUUCAGUUCACCUCCAUUUUCUCCCCUAAUACCCAGGUGACCACCAACCUGCUUUCUUUCUCCUUAGAUUUGCCUCUUCUGGACAUUUUCUAGAAAUGGAAUCAUAAAAUAUCUGGCCUUUUGUGACUGGCUUCUUUGACUUUCAGCAGCGUUUACCAGGUUCAUCCAUGUUGCAGCAUGAUCCAUACUUCAUUCCUUUUAAUUACAGUAAAAGUAUCUGAAAAACAUUCCACUGUACAGAUUUGUCACAAUUUGUUUAUUUGUGCAUAAGUCAUAGGUCAACAUUUCGGUGGUUUCCGGUUGGAGGGUUAUCAGGAAUAAUGGUGCUGUGAACACUCAUGUACGGAUUUCCAGUAAUCAUCCCGGGACGGGAGGGGAGUGACAUCCCGGGCUACCUUUAAUGUCUUUUUUCCG